UGUAGAUGUCAAUAUACGUGCUAACUGUUGUCGUAUUCCGGAACAAAUAUACAUUACAGUCAUUUCUAUCAAACAGACAAUAAUGACAGCAAGAAGCCAAACAACAAAAUGACACUGUGUUACUACAAAAACAAAAAAUCAUCAAAUUGGUUGAAAAGUUAAAUAUAACGUGGCGUAAAGUGAAUCUAAAUUGAUUUUUAAGCAACGUUGGAGCUGAUCCUUAUUAAUAAUGCGUAGCGCGACACGAAUUAGACAAACAAGACGUAACAAAUGAAGAAUUUUCAAGAAACAGGAAAUAAUCAGAGUUUUGCUAUUUUCCCAUUUAAUUUACCAUCACCAAUUUAAUUUGCGCUCAGUCCGAAGUUGGUUUCGGACUAGGUGAAGAUGAGUUUACAAAUUCAAUUUAUUUUAUAUGAUUUAUACGCGUAGGCGUAAAUAAUGAAUAGAAUUUUAAUUUUCCGCUACCAUAGCCACUGCCAGAAUGUUGUCAUUCAAAUG